rnacentral:rRNA from 1 species
UACAGAGGGGGCAAGCGUUGUUCGGAAUUACUGGGCGUAAAGGGCGCGUAGGCGGCCCGCUAAGUCGAACGUGAAAUCCCUGGGCUCAACCCAGGAACUGCGUCCGAUACUGGCGGGCUUGAAUCCGGGAGAGGGAUGUGGAAUUCCAGGUGUAGCGGUGAAAUGCGUAGAUAUCUGGAGGAACACCGGUGGCGAAGGCGGCAUCCUGGACCGGUAUUGACGCUGAUGCGCGAAAGCCAGGGGAGCAAACGGG